rnacentral:rRNA from 1 species
UACAGAGGUCUCAAGCGUUGUUCGGAUUCAUUGGGCGUAAAGGGUGCGUAGGCGGCGCGGUAAGUCGGAUGUGAAAUCUCGGGGCUUAACUCCGAAACUGCAUUCGAUACUGUGGUGCUUGAGGACUGGAGAGGAGACUGGAAUUCCCGGUGUAGCGGUGAAAUGCGCAGAUAUCGGGAGGAACACCGGUGGCGAAGGCGGGUCUCUGGGCCGAUACUGACGCUGAGGAGCGAAAGCGUGGGGAGCGAACAGG